GAUCAAGAUCGGCACGAGGAGGUGGAUCAAGAUCGGCACGAGAAGGUAGAUCAACAUUAGUAGACGAGAAGAGCGCGAGGAGGUGGAUCAAGAUCGGCACGAGGAGGUCAAGAUCGGCACGAGGAGGUGGACCAAGACCAGCACGAGGAGGUGGAUCAAGAUCGGCACGAGGAGGUGGAUCAAGAUCGGCACGAGAAGGUGGAUCAACAUUAGUGCGACUAGAGGAUCCAGAUGAGCACGAGGAGGUGGAUCAAGAUGGGCACGAGUAGGUAGAUCAAGAUCGGCACGAGGAGUUAGAUCAAGAUCGGCACGAGAAGGUGGAUCAACAUUAGCGCGAGGAGGUGGAUCCAGAUGAGCACGAAGAGGUGGAUCAAGAUUGGUACGAGGAGGGGGAUCAAGAUCAGCACGAGGAGGUAGAUCAAGAUCAGCAUGAGGAGGUGGAUAAAGAUCAGCACAAGGAGGACCAGGAUCGGCAAAAAGCUGGACUCGGCACGGCAAGGAGAAACAACCACGAGGAGAGCACUCAAGAGGCCUCUGGUAACUGUACAACAAGCCAAACAGCAGCUCAAAAUCGUUGAUGAAAUACUGCAUCCACUGCUUACCUUAGAGCAAGGUCAGACAUGUGUCGUUGGUGCCUGAGUACCUGGCACGCCCAAAAAUAUCCUGAAACGAACGGGCUGGUACCUUAGCCAACUACCUCAGCCUUUGAAUACCUUAGAUACCUUGGCCGAAGUCAUUGCUGUUGAAGCGUCCUUAAAACCCACUAACUAACUGACCACAAACAAGAUCGGCACAAGAAAGAUGACGGGGUUUGGCCCGAGAACACUGGAAUAUGAAGAUGGGACGGCAACAUUGUUAAGACAAAGGAGGUCGUUACGAUCACAUGAGGAAGAUAAUCAGGAUCAGCAAAGAGCCAAGUACCCUACGAGGAGAAAGAAGUAUGAGGAGAAAGACCAAGAUUUACACCAGGAGGAAGAUCAACUUGUCAUGAUGAUGAGGUGAAGAUGGACACGCGGCAGGCAUCGGAGAAGCACGAAGAAUGGGAUCCAGAUCACGCAAGGGGCCCAGAACGAUAGAAAUCGUCGGCCAUAGGGGCAUGACGAUGAGCGUCGUACGCGGCCACGUGCGAAAUCAAGAUCACAUGAAGGAGAUCAAGAUUGGCAUACAAAGAUUUCAGUUCGGCACGAAAAGUAGAAACAAGACGGGAAAUUGGGUGUCAGUGAAAUCGCACUAGGAAAGAUGUUAAGGUCACAUCAAUAAUGGCAUCAAGGAUGACAAAAAUGGUGAGUGAAGAGAGCUCGGAUAAAACAUCUGAUUUGUGGAUCACAUGGAGAAUCAAGAUACAUGAUGAGGAUGCUCAAGAUUACCGCAAAGAGAGCCGAGGUCGGCGCGACUAGAAGUUAUAUCGGCACGAAGAAAGGGAUCAGGAUUAGCACGAGGAGAUGGAUCAAGAUCGGCACGAGGGCAUCCAGAUUGGCAAAUGAGGUGCAUCAAGAUCGGCACAGUGAGGAAUAAUAACAUCGUCACGAGAAUAAGGGUCAAAUUCGGCGCGAGAAGGAGCAUGAAGGUCGGCACAAGGAGGGUAGUGAGAUCGACAUGGGGAAGCUGAUCAUCGUCGGCACGAGGAAGAGGACCAAGAUGGGAACGAGGGAAAUCAUCAAAACGGACAUGAGGAGAAGGAUUCAGAUCGUGACGAGUGAGAGGAGGAUUAAUAUCAACAUGCGGAGGAAGAUCAAGAUCGGCUUAAGGAAGAUCAGGCCCUGCACAAGGAGGAGGAGGAGGAGUAUAAAGAUGGCCCUGAGGAAGGUGUUGAACUUUAGCGAUGAAUGACAUCAAGAUUGAUGGGAAGCGAUCACGAUCAUGAUCAGUGGAAGCAAGAACGGUAGCAGUGGAAACCCAAGAUGAGAUAGCAAUAUUUCUGAAACAAGGACAAUCAAGAUCACUCUUCGAAAAGCAUCGGGAUCGGCUUAAGGAGAAACACCGGCACGAGGAAGAGAAUCAAGGUCGGCAGAAAUUUAAGUUCGGCCUCUCGAAGAGAAACAAGAUGGGCACGACGAAGAAGAUCAGGCUCAAAACAAGGCCGAAGACUAUUUCGGCACGAGGAGGAGGAACUAGGUCGGCGCGAAGUGGAUAAAAAAACGCACAGGGAUGGUGUCCUGCUUGCACGAGGAAUACGAUCAUUGGAACAAGAACAAGACCAGAAUAUCAAGACGGAACAGCACUGGCAUUAAGACAAGGGAGAUAAUCAAGGUUACGUUAGGUAGAGGAUCAGAAUCAGCAUUAAGUUAAGCACCAGUUAAUGAGAAAGAAGCACAGGGGAAAGGUCGAGAUCGUCACCAGGAGAAGGAGCAAUGCGCCGUGGUGAGGAUCAAGAUCGGCGCGGGGUAGGCAUCGAAGAAGCACGAGGAAUAACAUCAAGAUCACUUAAUACAUGGGGCCUAGGAUGGUAAAAUCGACGACCAUAAGCGCAUGAGGAAGGAGUCGUACGUGGCCACAUGAGGAAUCAAGAUCACAUGAAAAAACAAGAUCAACUUACAAAGGUUCGAGAUCGGCACGAGAACGAGAAAGACGAUCGGCACGAGGAGGAAGAUGAAGAUCGCACAAGAGGGAUGAUCAAGAUCGGCACGAGGAGAAAGAAAGUUCGGUGCGAGGGGGAAGGUCACCAUAGGUGAGAUUAUGUCGAAAAAAUUGCACGAUGCAUGCUAUCAAGAUCGCAUGAAGAUGACAUCAAAACAAGAAAAUGGUAAGUCAAGAGCCCUAGGGUAAAGGAAGUCAAAUGUUGAUCGAAUGAAAAAUCAAGAUGAUGUGAAAAAAUUAUUCAGAUCGGCGCAAAAAGAGUCGAUAUCAGCGCGACAAGAAAAAGCAAGAUUGGUAUGGAGAGGAGGACGAAGAUCACCAGAAGCAAGGGCCCACAUUCUAGGAGCAAGAGGACCAAGAUCGGCUCGAGCAGGUGGAUCAAGAUCGGCACAAGAGGGAGCAUCCAGACUGGCAAAGGAGGAGCAUCAAAAUCGACACCAGAAAGAGGACCAAGAUCGAGACGAGGAGGAAUAGCAAGAUCGGCACGAGAAGGAGGUGGAUCAAGAGCAGCGCGAUGAGGGGAUCUAGACCGGCACUUGGAAGUGCGCCGAGACCGGCACGAGGAGUGCCAAGCUAUGCACUGUCACCAAGAUGGAAAAGAAUACCGACACGAGGGGGAAGCUCAAGAUUGACGUGAGGACGAUCAAGCUGUACACAAGGAGGAGGAGAAGAAAAACUAAGGUAAACACGAAUAAGGUGUCGAAGUCGCACGAUCAAUAGCAUCAAGGGCGCAUGAGCGACGGGAACAAGAAAAACAGCACUGGGAUGACAAGAUGUGAUAGCAAGAUCGUCAAGACAGGGAAGAAGAUCAACAUCACGCUAGGAAGAGCAGGAGGACCGGCGGAAAUGAGAAACAUCACCGGCACGAGGAAGGGAAUAAAGAUUGGCAGAAAUUGGUGCCCGGGAUGACUAAAAAAAA